UAAUACGGAGGUGGCAAGCGUUGUUCGGAAUUACUGGGCGUAAAGGGCGCGUAGGCGGGGAGGUAAGUCGGGUGUGAAAUCCCUCGGCUCAACCGAGGAACUGCGCCCGAGACUGCUUCUCUUGAGUCCCGGAGAGGAAGGUGGAAUUCCCGGUGUAGCGGUGAAAUGUGUAGAGAUCGGGAGGAACACCGGUGGCGAAGGCGGCCUUCUGGACGGUGACUGACGCUGAGGCGCGAAAGCGUGGGGAGCAAACGGGAUUAGAUACCCCGGUAGUCCACGCGGUAAACGAUGGGUGCUAGGUGUGGGGGGUAUCGACCCCUCCCGUGCCGAAGCUAACGCAUUAAGCACCCCGCCUGGGGAGUACGGCCGCAAGGUUGAAACUUAAAUGAAUUGACGG
rnacentral:rRNA from 1 species